UCCCCAAGCGCCGGCAAACCUCCGCAGCCCUCCUUCCCCAAGCGCCGGCAAACCUCCGCAGCCCUCCUUCCCCAAGCGCCGGCAAACCUCCGCAGCCCUCCUUCCCCAAGCGCCGGCAAACCUCCGCAGCCCUCCUUCCCCAAGCGCCGGCAAACCUCCGCAGCCCUCCUUCCCCAAGCGCCGGCAAACCUCCGCAGCCCUCCUUCCCCAAGCGCCGGCAAACCUCCGCAGCCCUCCUUCCCCAAGCGCCGGCAAACCUCCGCAGCCCUCCUUCCCCAAGCGCCGGCAAACCUCCGCAGCCCUCCUUCCCCAAGCGCCGGCAAACCUCCGCAGCCCUCCUUCCCCAAGCGAGCGCCGGCGAAAUCACUGCAUAAUUUGAAGUUCAUCAUCCGACUCCUAGCAGCAAGUCAUUUUGGAUCUGAAAAACAAAUUACAGCUUUGCUAUUGUUUGUGAAUUUUAGGCAGUUGCCAACAUUCUGUUUGUGUCAGAAUACAAUGCUCUGCAUGGAUAUGAAGAUCAUAUGUUUGAUGGAAUGAAAUCAUGUUAUAGGCAAGCUUGAUGAAUGAGGAACUGAUUUUUUCUUUAAUGUUUGAUUUAGACGUUAUGAGCUUUUGUACCAGGAGUUAAAUUGAUAUUUGAUUGUGAACUUUUGUACCAGGAGUUUGCAAUCAAGCUUUCCACUUUCACUGCAUCGGUAGGUGGCUCAAGACUAGGCAACUCCAGUAAUGUUUUCGGAUGUCGAAAGUUAUAGGGAUCAAUGUUGUGUUAGUUUUUUAUGCUAAAAAGUUCCCUCCCCACUGUAUGAUACUUUCUCUUGAUCUUUUUGACAAAUGUAAAAUAGUUCAUAAGAGAUUACCCCAGUUACCUCAUCAGUCACGUGGAAAUUCUAACUUUAUGACCGUGUAAUAGUGUACCCUCUCACUAAUAGCUCCUCUUUGUUGACUCCACGGAAGUGUAAUCAAAUUGCUCUCAGGAGCUUCUUUUUAAGCUUAAGGCAGAAAUUUGAGGUCAAAUUUACUUC